GGGUCGUGAGUUCCGAAGGUAGAGCAACGGACUUUUAAUUCCGUUGGUCACCGGUUCGAAUCCAGUACGGCGCG
rnacentral:tRNA from 2 species